GAUGAAGAACGCAGCGAAAUGCGAUACGUAAUGUGAAUUGCAGAAUUCAGUGAAUCAUCGAGUCUUUGAACGCACAUUGCGCCCCCUGGUAUUCCGGGGGGCAUGCCUGUCCGAGCGUCAUUGCUGCCCUCAAGCACGGCUUGUGUGUUGGGCCUCCGUCCUCCUCCCGGGGGACGGGCCCGAAAGGCAGCGGCGGCACCGCGUCCGGUCCUCGAGCGUAUGGGGCUUCGUCACCCGCUCUUGUAGGCCCGGCCGGCGCUUGCCGACACAUCAAUCUUUUUUCCAGGUUGACCUCGGAUCAGGUAGGGAUACCCGCUGAACUUAAGCAUAUCAUAAGCGGAGG
rnacentral:misc_RNA from 1 species